CAGCCGCCGCGGGAAUACGAAGGGUGCAAGCGUUAAUCGGAAUUACUGGGCGUAAAGCGUGCGUAGGCGGCUUGGUAAGUUAGAGGUGAAAGCCUGGAGCUCAACUCCAGAAUUGCCUUUAAGACUGCCGAGCUAGCAGGUGAGAGAGGUAAGUGGAAUUCCGAGUGUAGAGGUGAAAUUCGUAGAUAUUCGGAAGAACACCAGUGGCGAAGGCGGCUUACUGGCUCAUACUGGACGCUGAGGUGCGAAAGCGUGGGGAGCAAACAGGAUUAGAUACCCGAGUAGUCCCUGUCUCUUAUAC
rnacentral:rRNA from 1 species